GGGGUUAUAGCUCAGCUGGGAGAGCGCCUGCCUUGCACGCAGGAGGUCUGCGGUUCGAUCACAUAGCUCCACCA
rnacentral:tRNA from 1 species